AUUGAACGCUGGCGGCAUGCCUUACACAUGCAAGUCGAACGGUAACAGGUCUUCGGAUGCUGACGAGUGGCGAACGGGUGAGUAAUACAUCGGAACGUGCCUAGUAGUGGGGGAUAACUACUCGAAAGAGUGGCUAAUACCGCAUGAGAUCUACGGAUGAAAGCAGGGGAUCGCAAGACCUUGUGCUACUAGAGCGGCCGAUGGCAGAUUAGGUAGUUGGUGGGAUAAAAGCUUACCAAGCCGACGAUCUGUAGCUGGUCUGAGAGGACGAUCAGCCACACUGAGACUGAGACACGGCCCCGACUCCUACGGGAGGCAGCAGUGGGGAAUUUUGGACAAUGGGCGCAAGCCUGAUCCAGCAAUGCCGCGUGCAGGAUGAAGGCCUUCGGGUUGUAAACUGCUUUUGUACGGAACGAAAAGCCCUGGGUUAAUACCCUGGGGUCAUGACGGUACCGUAAGAAUAAGCACCGGCUAACUACGUGCCAGCCGCCGCAGUAACAC
rnacentral:rRNA from 1 species